rnacentral:rRNA from 1 species
UGACUGAGUGGCGGACGGGUGAGUAACGCGUGGGUAACCUGCCUUGUACUGGGGGAUAGCAGCUGGAAACGGCUGGUAAUACCGCAUAAGCGCACAAUGUUGCAUGACAUGGUGUGAAAAACUCCGGUGGUAUAAGAUGGACCCGCGUCUGAUUAGCUAGUUGGUGAGAUAACAGCCCACCAAGGCGACGAUCAGUAGCCGACCUGAGAGGGUGACCGGCCACAUUGGGACUGAGACACGGCCCAGACUCC